UCGAGAGUUUGAUCCUGGCUCAGGAUGAACGCUAGCGGCAGGCUUAACACAUGCAAGUCGAGGGGUAUAGUUCUUCGGAGCUAGAGACCGGCGCACGGGUGCGUAACGCGUAUGCAAUCUACCUUUCACAAAGGGAUAGCCCAGAGAAAUUUGGAUUAAUACCUUAUAGUAUAACGACUUCGCAUGGAGAUGUUAUUAAAGAUUUAUCGGUGAAAGAUGAGCAUGCGUCCCAUUAGCUAGAUGGUAAGGUAACGGCUUACCAUGGCGACGAUGGGUAGGGGUCCUGAGAGGGAGACUCCCCCACACUUGUACUGAGACACGGACCAGACU
rnacentral:rRNA from 1 species